UUCGACCCAAGACCCACGUCCUACCUCUGACCUGCAGGACAGAAGAAAAAUGGCACAUGCAGAAGACUCAAUUCCAGAAUGGCUGCACUCGGCAAAGCAAGCCUCUGUGUUGGUGUCAUCUGAUACUGCAUUAUUUUCUACCUGGAAGUGAACAUUUGAAAUUUCAAGAAGAGCCAUUUGGCAUUUCGUGGCAUAAGUGCUUCAGUACAAGUAAGUGACUUUGCCAGAAUGGAGAGAAACACAACUUAACUCAACUUUCUUACUUAGCAGGACAGACGAAAAAUGGCACAAUGCAGAGCUCUAGAUGUCUGGAGGAAUGUACAAGACAAGGAUAAUAAUAAUAAUUAUUGUAUUGGUUAAGUGCUUUCUAUGUGCCAAACAUUGUUCUAAGUGCUGGGUCUGUGUAGAUAUCUGCUGGUACUGAAUAGCUAGCAUACAUAAAGCUGAGGAUUGAAAAUGU